rnacentral:rRNA from 1 species
UAAAAAAUUUGGCGGUAUUUUAGUCUAUUCAGAGGAACCUGUUCUGUAAUCGAUAAUCCACGAUGGACCUUACUUAAGUUUGUAAUCAGUUUAUAUACCGUCGUUAUUAGAAUAUUUUAUAAGAAUGUUAAUUUUCAAAAUUUUAUAAAAGAAAAUAUAUCAGAUCAAGGUGUAGCUAAUAUUUAAGUAGAAAUGGGUUACAAUAAAUUUAUUUAUACGGAUAUAAAAUUGAAAUUUUUAUUGAAGGUGGAUUUGAUAGUAAAAUUAUAAAGAUUAAUAAUUUGAUUUUAGCUCUAAAAUAUGCACACAUCGCCCGUCACUCUUACUAUUAAGGUAAGAUAAGUCGUAACAUAGUAGAUGUACUGGAAAGUGUACCUAGAAUGCAAUUUAAAGCUUAUUUAGUAAAGCAUUUCAUUUACAUUGAAAAGAUUUUUGUGCAAAUCAAUAUAAAUUGAUUAGAUUUUAUUUAUUAAUUUUUUUUGUUUAUAAAUUAAUUUAUUAAAAAUAAUUAUAAAGUGAAUUGUUUUAGUAUUUUAUAAAGAAAAAAUAAUAUUAAUUAUAGCGUAAUAGUAUUGUGAAAGAAAAUUGAAAUAAUUUGAAAAAUUUUUAU